GGUCAAGUUAUUAAGGGUGCAGGGCGGAUGCCUUGGCACUAGGAGCCGAUGAAGGACGUGAUAAGCUGCGAUAAGCUUCGGGGAGUUGCACGUAAACUUUGAUCCGAAGAUUUCCGAAUGAGGAAACUCACUUAGAGUAAUGUCUAAGUAUCAUUAAGUGAAUACAUAGCUUAAUGAGGGGAACUCAGGGAACUGAAACAUCUAAGUACCUGAAGGAAGAGAAAGAAAUUCGAUUCCGUAAGUAGCGGCGAGCGAACGCGGAUUAGCCCAAACCAAUAAAGUUUUCUUUAUUGGGGUUGAGGACAUACCAUAUAUAAGAGGUCAUUAUAGACGAAGAGGUUUGGAAAGACUCAUCAUAGAAGGUAAUAAUCCUGUAGUCAAAAUAAUAAUUCUUUAGGUAUGAUCCAGAGUACCACGGGACACGUGAAACCCUGUGGGAAGCAGGAGGGACCACCCUCCAAGGCUAAAUACUACCUAGUGACCGAUAGCGUAUAGUACCGUGAGGGAAAGGUGAAAAGAACCCCGGGAGGGGAGUGAAAUAGAACCUGAAACCCUGCACUUACAAGCUGUGGAAGCACAUUUCUUGUGUGACCGCGUACUUUUUGUAGAACGGGCCAACGAGUUACGUUAAGUAGCAAGGUUAAGCACUUAAGGUGUGGAGCCGUAGCGAAAGCGAGUUUUAACUGAGCGUUCAGUUACUUGACGUAGACCCGAAACCGGGCGACCUACCCAUGAGCAGGAUGAAGCGAAAGUAAAAUUUCGUGGAGGUCCGAACCCACGAGCGUUGAAAAGCUCGGGGAUGACUUGUGGGUAGCGGUGAAAUUCCAAUCGAGCCCGGAGAUAGCUGGUUCUCCCCGAAAUAGCUUUAGGGCUAGCCUCAAGGUGAGAGAUACGGAGGUAGAGCGCUGAAUGUCCUAGGGGGUAUUGCACCUACCGAAGACUAUCAAACUCCGAAUGCCGUCAUCUUAUACUUGGGAGUCAGACUGUGGGUGAUAAGAUUCAUAGUCGAAAGGGCAACAGCCCAGAUCGUCAGCUAAGGUCCCUAAAUGUAAGUUAAGUGGUAAAGGAUGUGGGAUUGCACAGACAACCAGGAUGUUGGCUUAGAAGCAGCCACUCAUUCAAAGAGUGCGUAAUAGCUCACUGGUCGAGUGAUCCUGCGCCGAAGAUUUCCGGGGCUAAAACUUACUACCGAAGCUACGGCAUCAGUAAUGAUGGGUAGGGGAGCUUCCCAUACGGGUUGAAGCAUGACCGUAAGGACAUGUGGACAGUAUGGGAGUGAGAAUGUUGGCAUGAGUAGCGAGAUGUGGGUGAGAAUCCCACAGGCCGUAAACCCAAGGUUUCCAGAGGAAGGCUCGUCCGCUCUGGGUUAGUCGGGUCCUAAGCUGAGGCCGACAGGCGUAGGCGAUGGAUAACAGGUUGAUAUUCCUGUACUACCGAUAACCGUUUGAGAGAAGGGAUGACACAGUAGGAUAAGCUAAGCACACUGUUGGUUAUGUGUGCCCAAGCAUUGAGGCAGUCAAAGUAGGCAAAUCCGCUUUGAUAAUGCUGGGAUGUGAUGGGGAGCGAAAUUUAGUAGCGAAGUAGCUGAUUUCAUACUGUCAAGAAAAGUCUCUAUCGAGGUUAAAGGUACCCGUACCGCAAACCGACACAGGUAGUCAAGAUGAGAAUUCUAAGGUGAGCGAGCGAACUCUCGUUAAGGAACUCGGCAAAAUGACCCCGUAACUUCGGGAGAAGGGGUGCUCUUUAGGGUUAACGCCCAGAAGAGCCGCAGUGAAUAGGCCCAAGCGACUGUUUAUCAAAAACACAGGUCUCUGCUAAACCGUAAGGUGAUGUAUAGGGGCUGACGCCUGCCCGGUGCUGGAAGGUUAAGAGGAGUAGUUAGCUUCUGCGAAGCUACGAAUCGAAGCCCCAGUAAACGGCGGCCGUAACUAUAACGGUCCUAAGGUAGCGAAAUUCCUUGUCGGGUAAGUUCCGACCCGCACGAAAGGCGUAACGAUUUGGGCACUGUCUCAACGAGAGACUCGGUGAAAUCAUAGUACCUGUGAAGAUGCAGGUUACCCGCGACAGGACGGAAAGACCCCGUGGAGCUUUACUGUAGCUUGACAUUGGGUCUUGGUACUACAUGUACAGGAUAGGUGGGAGGCUUUGAAACCAGGACGCCAGUUUUGGCGGAGCCAUCCUUGGGAUACCACCCUUGUAGUACUGGGACUCUAACCAUAGGCCAUGAAUCUGGUCUUGGGACACUGUCAGGUGGGCAGUUUGACUGGGGCGGUCGCCUCCCAAAAGGUAACGGAGGCGCUCAAAGGUUCUCUCAGUACGGUCGGAAAUCGUACGUAGAGUGUAAAGGCAAAAGAGAGCUUGAUUGCAAGACAUACAGGUCGAGCAAGGAUGAAAAUCGGACUUAGUGAUCCGGUGGUUCUGCGUGGAAGGGCCAUCGCUCAACGGAUAAAAGCUACCCUGGGGAUAACAGGCUUAUCUCCCCCAAGAGUCCACAUCGACGGGGAGGUUUGGCACCUCGAUGUCGGCUCAUCACAUCCUGGGGCUGUAGUAGGUCCCAAGGGUUGGGCUGUUCGCCCAUUAAAGUGGUACGCGAGCUGGGUUCAGAACGUCGUGAGACAGUUCGGUCCCUAUCCGUCGCAGGCGUAGGAAAUUUGAGAAGACCUGUCCUUAGUACGAGAGGACCGGGAUGGACGUACCUCUGGUGUACCAGUUGUUCUGCCAAGGGCAUGGCUGGGUAGCUAUGUACGGAAUGGAUAAGCGCUGAAAGCAUCUAAGCGCGAAGCCAACUUCAAGAUAAGAUUUCCCACCGUAAGGGUAAGACCCCAGAAAGACUAUCUGGUUGAUAGGUCGAAGGUGUAAGUGCAGCAAUGUAUUUAGCUUAUCGAUACUAAUAGGUCGAGGACUUGACCAA
rnacentral:rRNA from 1 species